AGAAGGCCUUCGGGUUGUAAAGCACUUUUGUCCGGAAAGAAAUCCUUGACUCUAAUACAGUCGGGGGAUGACGGUACCGGAAGAAUAAGCACCGGCUAACUACGUGCCAGCAGCCGCGGUAAUACGUAGGGUGCGAGCGUUAAUCGGAAUUACUGGGCGUAAAGCGUGCGCAGGCGGUUUGCUAAGACCGAUGUGAAAUCCCCGGGCUCAACCUGGGAACUGCAUUGGUGACUGGCAGGCUAGAGUAUGGCAGAGGGGGGUAGAAUUCCACGUGUAGCAGUGAAAUGCGUAGAGAUGUGGAGGAAUACCGAUGGCGAAGGCAGCCCCCUGGGCCAAUACUGACGCUCAUGCACGAAAGCGUGGGGAGCAAACAGGAUUAGAUACCCUGGUAGUCCACGCCCUAAACGAUGUCAACUAGUUGUUGGGGAUUCAUUUCCUUAGUAACGUAGCUAACGCGUGAAGUUGACCGCCUGGGGAGUACGGUCGCAAGAUUAAAACUCAAAGGAAUUGACGGGGACCCGCACAAGCGGUGGAUGAUGUGGAUUAAUUCGAUGCAACGCGAAAAACCUUACCUACCCUUGACAUGGUCGGAAUCCUGCUGAGAGGUGGGAGUGCUCGAAAGAGAACCGGCGCACAGGUGCUGCAUGGCUGUCGUCAGCUC
rnacentral:rRNA from 1 species